CGAAACGCGUAUCGAUCGACCGAACCGAAAUUGCUUUGGACACUUUUGAAAGCACGAAAUAUGAAGCCGUAGCCGCGUUUUCGAUGAUUCUUAAAGAUGCGUGUGCUGAGCGUGUGAAUAAUUUUACCGGACUCUUCCUACUUCCCAUUCUGGACACUGAAUUCGUAGUUGCCGGGAGCAUCGGUUAUCGUCAGAGACUCAUUAAGUACCAUUAGCCUCGUGCAGCAUAUCAAUGAAACACCUCGUGUGUCUUUCAUAUGGCGUCACGCUAUAAGGCGUCGGCAGAGAGAAAAAAGCAUCUCUUUCAUAUCCAGUCUCCUCGCUGGACCUUUGUAUAAGCACACUGCGUGGAUCUCGAAUCAAAGUGCCUGCAGUACACUGAAGCAGGAAAAAUCUUGGAUGAAGAUUAUUUGAGGGGCCUUGUCGUGAACUGGUAGGAUGGCGAAGGAGACAAAGAUUGAAGUUUGGACCGGAGGCUCGGGUUCCGGGAUUAAGGCCCCCGAUGAACCAGAAAGCCAGCCAGUUCCGCGAAUCGAAAUCCCCCCACUUCACAGAGUUGGUAACACUGGCGCGACUCGUAGGAAAGAUCCCGCGCGAAUUCUGAUUUCGCAAUUCGAGCGCGCGCGGGAGUCGUCGCCAUGUGGAGCCGUGGGGGAGGCACGAGGGGUAUCCCAGAGGUGGACUCACGAUCACGUGGUACGCGAACCAUCGACCGAUGCAAGAUUUCGCCGAGAAUGACGUCGCCGUGGCGCACGGGCACUGCGACGCGAAAUGCUCCGGCGGCAACUCUCGAAUAACUGGCUCUGCCCCCCAAGGACGACGUCCCCGACGGCCAGGCUGCACAAGGAUUGCGGCCACAAAGCUCACGGCGUCAAUUCGCUCGCUGCCAUCAAACGGCUCUAUUUAUACAUUAUUCAACGCAAAGGCCGAAAACUCUCGUUGGUAAUUCAGCACGAUGCACUAUAGCCGGGUAGCAACGAGUCGAUGCGAUUUGCGACAAAUGCC